AUGACGUCACAGUAGUCUGUGGGGGUAUGGGUAGCUUUCGUGGUAGGCCUAGGCAAGGUGAAAAGUCUUUCUAGCAGAGGAGGCCGUGACGAUUGUUACGCAGAGGUGUGGUAGUCCCGAGUUGUGGGCCAUGCUAGUGUCAUGUCGGCUGCUGACAAUUUAGUUAGAAUCAUAUAUAAGAACUGUGGGCUGAGAUAUUGAGGAGCUGUACUACCGGCUAUAAUCUAAGAAGAACCAGCGAGAUGGAGACUGGGUGCUGGUCAAGAUUAUGUGAAGUGUGCGGUAAUUAAUAUGAAUGCUGAAAACAAUGAACAGUGAAAAGUGAAUA